rnacentral:rRNA from 1 species
AUUGAACGCUGGCGGCAUGCUUUGCACAUGCAAGUCGAACGGCAGCACGGACUUCGGUCUGGUGGCGAGUGGCGAACGGGUGAGUAAUACAUCGGAACGUACCCAGUAAUGGGGGAUAACUAUCCGAAAGGAUAGCUAAUACCGCAUACGCCCUACGGGGGAAAGAGGGGGAUCGCAAGACCUCUUGUUAUUGGAGCGGCCGAUGGCUGAUUAGCUAGUUGGUGGGGUAAAGGCCUACCAAGGCAACGAUCAGUAGCGGGUCUUAGAGGACGAUCAGCAAAACGGAAACUAGGACACGGUCCAGACUCCUACGGGAGGCAGAAGAGGGGAAUCUUGGACAAUGGGCGUAAGCAUGAUCCAGCAAUGAGGCGUGAGUGAAGAAGGCCUUCGGGUGAUAAAGCGCUUUUGUCAGGGAGCAAAUCCUUGUGGCUAAUACCCACCGGGGAUGAGAGUACCUGAAGAAUAAGGACCGGCUAACUACGUGCCAGCAGCCGCCGUAAAAC